AUGGAACAAUCAAAACUUAUAGAUACGACGGAGACGUAUCAUGCCACGCUUGCUAAUACGCACAUAAAAGUAUCACCCACUUGUCCUUCAUGCUCCAAUGGGGCAGAAGAUACAAAACACGUUUUAUUCUUGUGUCGAAAGGCAAAAGAGGUAUGGGGCAAGCUAGGAUUGCAUGAGGUGAUCAAUAAAGCUUGUGUUGUUGAUCGUGCAGGAGAGGUGGUUUUGGAAUUCUUACUGUUAAUGCCCGAACAAGACUUAACAAUAAUGGGUUCUCAAAAAGCAAGUGAACCGAUCACGGUUAUAGCUUGGUAUUUAUGGUGGGAUAGA
rnacentral:rRNA from 1 species